rnacentral:snRNA from 1 species
GGGCGAUCUGACUGACACAUCUGGCACCUCGUUGAUUGUUAGUGUUGAUUCAAUUGAUCUGUCUGGCUAGGUGGGUGUUCCCUUCUUCAGGUGCAUCUCUCCAGAAGUUGUGCAUCUGAUAGAGGAAGACCCAUCUUCUGUCAAGGGUUUACAAGUUGUUGUGCUCACCUACUAGAACCUCCAGAAAACAAACUCUCAACUCUCACCAGGGAAGGUUCUUCUUGUAGCUGAUGGCGAUUAACACAGACACCCACACUGAGCAGUAUCUAGAGGAUAAGAGACUGUGGAGCUCUCAACUCU